UAUUCCAAAUAGCGGAGGAAAAGAAACUAACAAGGAUUCCCCUAGUAACUGCGAGUGAAGCGGGAAAAGCUCAAAUUUAAAAUCUGGUGGUCUUUGGCCAUCCGAAUUGUAAUCUAGAGAAGUGUUAUCCGCGCUGGACCGUGUACAAGUCUCCUGGAAUGGAGCGUCAUAGAGGGUGAGAAUCCCGUCUUUGACACGGACUACCAGGGCUUUGUGAUACACUCUCAACGAGUCGAGUUGUUUGGGAAUGCAGCUCAAAAUGGGUGGUAAAUUCCAUCUAAAGCUAAAUAUUGGCGAGAGACCGAUAGCGAACAAGUACCGUGAGGGAAAGAUGAAAAGAACUUUGGAAAGAGAGUUAAACAGUACGUGAAAUUGUUGAAAGGGAAACGCUUGAAGUCAGUCGCGUCUUUCAGAAAUCAACCUUACUUUUGUAUGGUGUACUUUCUGAUAGAUGGGUCAGCAUCAGUUUUGGUUGCUGGAUAAAGGUUAGAGAAAUGUGGCAUCUUCGGGUGUGUUAUAGUCUCUAAUCAUAUACAGUGGCUGGGACUGAGGAACUCAGCACGCCGUAAGGCCGGGGCUUUUGCUCACGUUCGUGCUUAGGAUGCUGGCAAAAUGGCUUUAAUCGACCCGUCUUGAAACACGGACAAAAGGAAGUCA
rnacentral:rRNA from 1 species